rnacentral:rRNA from 1 species
AUUGAACGCUGGCGGCAGGCUUAACACAUGCAAGUCGAGCGAGCGGCGGACGGGUGAGUAAUGUCUGGGAAACUGCCUGAUGGAGGGGGAUAACUACUGGAAACGGUAGCUACUACCGCAUACCAUCAGAAUUGCCCAGAUGGGAUUGGCUAGUAGGGUGGGUAAUGGCUCACCUGGGCGACGAUCCCUAGCUGGUAUGAGAGGAUGAAAAGCCACACGGGAACUGAAACACGGCCCGAACGCCUACGGGAGGCAGCAGUGGGGAAUAUUGCACAAUGAGCGCAAGACUGAUGCAGCAAUGCCGGGUGGGGGAAGAAGGCCUUCGGGUGGUAAAGCACUUUCAGCGAGGAGGCGGUACUCGCAGAAGAAGCACCGGCUAACUCCGUGCCAGCAGCCGCGGUAAUUC